rnacentral:rRNA from 1 species
AACGAACGCUGGCGGCAGGCUUAACACAUGCAUGUCGAACGCUCCGCAAGGAGAGUGGCAGACGGGUGAGUAACACGUGGGAACGUACCCUUUACUACGGAACAACUCCGGGAACCUGGAGCUAAUACCGUAUGUGCCCUUUGGGGGAAAGAUUUAUCGGUAAAGGAUCGGCCCGCGUUGGAUUAGCUAGUUGGUGGGGUAAAGGCCUACCAAGGCGACGAUCCAUAGCUGGUCUGAGAGGAUGAUCAGCCACAUUGGGACUGAGACACGGCCCAAACUCCUACGGGAGGCAGCAGUGGGGAAUAUUGGACAAUGGGCGCAAGCCUGAUCCAGCCAUGCCGCGUGUGUGAUGAAGGCCUUAGGGUUGUAAAGCACUUUCACCGGAGAAGAUAAUGACGGUAUCCGGAGGAGAAGCCCCGGCUAACUUCGUGCCAGCAGCCGCCGUAA